rnacentral:rRNA from 1 species
CAGUCGCCGCGGUAAUACGGAGGGAGCUAGCGUUGUUCGGAUUCAUUGGGCGUAAAGGGUGCGUAGGUGGCUUGGUAAGUUGAAGGUGAAAUCUCGGGGCUUAACCCCGAAACUGCCUUCAAUACUGCUAGGCUCGAGGACUGUAGAGGAGAAUGGAAUUCACGGUGUAGCAGUGAAAUGCGUAGAUAUCGUGAGGAAGACCAGUGGCGAAGGCGAUUCUCUGGGCAGUUCCUGACACUGAGGCACGAAGGCCAGGGGAGCAAACGGGAUUAGAUACCCCUGUAGUCCCUGUCUCUUAUAC